UACAGAGGGUGCGAGCGUUAAUCGGAAUUACUGGGCGUAAAGCGUGCGUAGACGGUUAUUUAAGUCGGAUGUGAAAGCCCCGGGCUCAACCCGGGAAUUGCAUUCGAGACUGAAUAGCUAGGGUACGGUAGAGGGAAGUGGAAUUUCCGGUGUAGCGGUGAAAUGCGUAGAUAUCGGAAGGAACAUCAGUGGCGAAAGCGACUUCCUGGACCAGUACCGACGUUCAGGCACGAAAGCGUGGGGAGCAAACAGG
rnacentral:rRNA from 1 species